AAGGACGAACGCUGGCGGCGUGCUUAAUACGUGCAAGUCAACGACUUUUAGAGUAGCAAUAUUUUAAAAGGAGUGGCGCACGGGUGAGUAACACGUAGGUAAUCUGCCUUCAGGACUGACACAACUCGUCGAAAGACGGGCUAAUAUCAGAUAAUGCAGCGGCUCCGCAUGGAGACAGUUGUUAAAGUACAAGCGCCUGAAGAUGAGCCUGCGGUCCAUUAGCUAGUUGGUAGAGUAACAGCCUACCAAGGCAACGAUGGAUAGCUGGUCUGAGAGGAUGAUCAGCCACACUGGAACUGAGACACGGUCCAGACUCCUACGGGAGGCAGCAGUAAGGUAUAUUGCUCAAUGGCCGAAAGGCUGAAGCAGCAACGCCGCGUGAAGGAUGAAUGGCCUUUGGCCUGUAAACUUCUAGUAAAAGGGAAAACAAUCAGGCAUGUCCUGAUUUGAUUGUACCUUUGAAGUAAGCCCCGGCUAACUACGUG
rnacentral:rRNA from 1 species